rnacentral:lncRNA from 1 species
CUCUUCGAGCAGCAUCUCCGCUGAGUUUUGCUCCGUUUCAGAAUAUGCGUCGGAGGACAACUGCGCAUCAUGGCGCUAAAACACACGGGAUGCUUUUGAAAAGGAGAUUUUGGCUUUUAUCGUAAAGCUAAAGCUUGUUUCAUUCGGAGAGAAGUUAGGCUGGCGGUGUCUUUUUACGCCGUGCACGCUCCCAGCUCGGAAUUUUAACCAGGAACCACCAGGCGAGAAUUUUCCUCCACCGCUGGACAGGUACUGCAGCAUUUCGCAAACCUGCAUCGAUGGAACCUGCAUUUAUGGAAAUCCUGCAUCGAGUCUACAAAUCGCCGUCAUUUAUCCAAACGCAUUUUACUCUUUUCCUGCCUUUGUUUCUCGCUCUACUUUCUGGAGUUAUUUUCGCGCAUCAGGAGCAGCUUGUUAUGAAGCCGGGACAAUAAACCUUGAAAAAGAAGCGAUGAUGGUAACGCCAUCUAUCGGCAGUCACGUUCAUAGUUUCUCUCUACCUGCCAAGCCAAGACUGCGGGAAAAGACAUCACAUAAGGAGUCAUAGGAGGCACACAGAUGUGAAAUAUAGCAGAAAACAUGACCCAAGCAAUGUGUGGAUGAACACAUAUAACAAUGGAAUCGGUCAUCCUGCCGGUGAAUGUAAUAUAUGUGCCUUGAGUCUAAAAUCUUCUUGAAGAUUUCAAGAUGAGAAGAGCUUCAUAAUCAGAAAGAUUUUAAUUGAAGGAAGCAAUUUAACUAAAGAAGGACUUUGAGCCAAAGUAAGAGAAGGGAAAACUGGAAGUUUACAAUUUUUUAUUCAUGACUUUACGAUCCUGUUGAGCUGCCUGAGCUAACCUGAUCUCCUUAUAGAUCCAGAAAAGAGAAAAUUUUAGCAAUACAGACAUCUUACUCUUUGAUGAUUAGGUUAUAAUUACACGCUUCUUUAUCAGCUAUUGUGUUAUGAAAAUAUACUCAUACAAGCGAAGGAUCUUUCAUUAAUUUGCGAUUAAUAUGAAUGGGAGAAUUGAUUCAUCUCAUUGACACGAAUCAGUUCUUGCGAAAAGAUUUCUUGGAUUAUGCGUUCUUUCUCAAAUGAUUAUCGAUGGAACUUAAUUUACUCUUGCCUGGGCAGUUUACCAUUUUAACUGGAAAGAUACAAGAUUGUAACUGUGCUGCAUAUCAUCUCGCUUUCUCAGACCGAUGACACAGAAAUUAAGGAUUCUGAAGUAUGUCAAGAGCACUUCGAUAAAAACUUUGUAUAAUACUUUCAGUGAUCUUGUUCAAGUUUCUUUGUUUCUUCUAAUUUUAACAUUAAAUUUACAUUAACUAGAAAAUAAAUUUUGUUCUUUACAAAGAAAUGAGUGUUUCAUUUUGCAAUAUAUCAAGUUAAAUAUCUAAUUAUUACUUAUUAAAAUAGUUACCAAUGUUUUACUUCUCUGAGCACAAUAUUUUCAUGCUUUAGUAAAAAAUUUUGUUUCCAAGUAAACGUUUAUUUUU